AUUACAAUUACACCAUGUUAAUAACACUUAACACUUGAAUGAUCACACAUUAAGGCUCAUUAACAAAUGCUAAGUGCCUUCUGUGUGUCUGAAAGUUACCUACUUUGUGCAAGGAUUAACUUUGAGUUUUUCUAUCUAGCUCAAAUUAAGUUAACUUCUAGGUGUUCCCCUGAGAUAAACGCACCAAUUUCUGAUGCCCCAGUAUCCAAGGAGGCGAUGUUCCCAGGUGGACUAGCUGUCCUCCAGGACUCCAUGGAAUUGAACGGACAGCUGGGAACAGCUGAGCAACAGUUUUUGCAGAACUCAGCUCCUCCUGUUAUUCUUUACCAAUGGCACAUGAUACUGAGCGAUGGGAUUUAGUCCCUUUCAGAUGGGUUUGGGUAUGCCAGUGCUUUCCUCCUUACUUCUGCUAUUGAUGUGGUUCUCAGAAGUCCAGUCUCACUGUACAUUUGUAACCAAUUUUACCAUUUCUUAGAAUAUCUUUGGGAGCAAUUCCAGCUCCUACCUCAAUGUAAAUAAUUGAAAAUUACCUAGCUUGUUAUUGUGGUUAUUCUUUGCUUUAUUAUUUGUUGCCCCAGUGUGUAAAGAGCCUCAAAAUAUACAAACAGUCCCUUUUCCUGAAAAGCCUACAGUCCAAAAGCUAGGUGCAUGGAAAAGGGGCUCAGUGAGAACACUAGCUACAACAAUGGUCUCUGGGUCAGAAGAAUCUACUGAUGGUGCAAGCAGUUACUUGAGAAACAUUUCCCUGUGCUUACGAGCAAUACAAAUGCUUUGAAGAUUUCGUUGUCAUAGAAGUUUUUAUAAAACUCAGUGAUCGGAUGUGGGUAGAUUUUGCAACCUUUAACAUUGAGCACGACAGUUCACUUUUUUCUUUUAAUACUGGAGUGGAGGUAAUUUCUGGAUGUGUGCAGACAUUCAAGUGGUCUUGAAGAAUCCUCCAGGUUUAGUUUCCUGGUAGAAAAACUUACCUGGACAUACCUGAACAGACAUUCAAAUGUGGAGCCCUUAAAGAAGGCAGAGUUUGCAGUUCUGAGACUACUCAGCCAGAAGGCUCCUGUGCAAACAUCUCAGUGUGCUGUUUAGACUCCCUUAGUGUGCCCAGAGACAGAUGGCAGCAGUGCACAGAGCAGCUCUGAGUGGCUGACCCGGACUGCGCAGAGUCAGCCUGUAUCUCCCUGCAGCACAAUGUGGGAUUGUGAAGGAGGCAUGUUUUACCACUGGGUUAGCUAAAGUAAUAAACUCCAGCCUGUGUGCACACUGUUUCCAGUAGAUAUGGGGGUAUGGGAGGAAAGCAUCCUGGGAUGCAGGAGAACUAUGCUGUGACUUCUUUCA